rnacentral:rRNA from 1 species
UACGGAGGGUGCGAGCGUUAAUCGGAAUUACUGGGCGUAAAGCGCACGUAGGCGGUUUUGUAAGUCGGAUGUGAAAGCCCCGGGCUUAACCUGGGAAUUGCAUCUGAUACUGCUUAACUAGAGUAUGCUAGAGGGAAGUGGAAUUCCGGGUGUAGCGGUGAAAUGCGUAGAUAUCCGGAGGAACACCAAUGGCGAAGGCAACUUCCUGGGGCAAUACUGACGCUGAGGUGCGAAAGCGUGGGGAGCAAACAGG